rnacentral:lncRNA from 1 species
GGACUCUCAAGAGUCUUCUCCAACACCGCAGUUCAAAUGCAUCAGUUCUUUGGCGCUCAGCUAAAUAUUAGCUAUACAAAUAACUGGGCUUCCCUGGUGGCUCAGCCCUAUUACUGAUUUUGAGACUUUCCUUCUCAGCACCGAGCCUGGAGCAGAAUUCAGACUCAGUGUGAGUACGUCAAUAUAGGAUGCAUUGGUCGACUCUGAUGCCUGCCAGAGUCCGCAGAAGCAAGAGAUUUGCAGAACCUGGGAGAUCUCAGCCCUGCUGCAAGGGGACAUUUUUGUACUCAGUGCCAUUUCCACAAGGUGAGGAGCCUACCAUAGUGACAGCUGGAAAAUGAAUCUACCUGGAGCGCUUCAACUCCACUGGGUGAUUGCCUUGUGGAUCAGGUGAUGUCCUUUUUCUUUCCUUGUUUUGUCUCUCUUCUACACCAGGUCUAGCUCACUUUAAUAAUAUUUUCUUUCAAAUUUAGUCAUUUAAAUUAGCUUCUUUUAUUUAUUUUUAUUUAAAAAAAUUUUUAUUGGAGUAUGGUUGCGUUACAGUGCUGUUAGUUCCUGCUAUACUGCAAAAUGAAUCAGUUAUCUGUAUGCAUAUAUCCCAUCUUAGAUUUUCUUCCUAUUUAGGUCACCAUUUAUUUUAGCUAGACUUAUACCCUGUUUCACAUUCUCUUUCUGAUCUACAUCUCAUUCUCCUCUUAAAUUUUUACUUUAUAAAAAGGGUCCAAUUUGUGAUUUUCCCCAUCUGUUUUUGUUUCAUUUUUCCUUCAUAUUACUUUGCCGCUUUAGUACACAACUAUCACAGGAACAGCUAUAUCCUCUAUUAUUAAAACUUCCCACACUAAACCAUGUCAACUUACACCCUCUAAUCCUUUCUUUCCAAGGUAAUCUUCUCUUAGCCAGGCCCAGGUGCUGGAUUCAGAAAUAACCUUGUCCCACUGCCAGAUAGAGCUGUGACCUAUUUCCUCAUCCCAUUGUUCGAAGGGUUGCCAUGUUACCAUGUCCUUUGUGAUUC